AUUGAACGCUGGCGGCAGGCCUAACACAUGCAAGUCGAACGAGUGGCGGACGUGUGAGUAAUGUCUGGGAAACUGCCCGAUGGAGGGGGAUAACUACUGGAAACGGUAUCUUAUCCCGCAUACCAUCGGAUGUGCCCAGAUGGGAGUAGCUAGUAGGGGGGGUAAUGGCUCACCUAGGCGACGAUCCCUAGCUGGUCUGAGAGGAUGACCAGCCACACUGGAACUGAGAAACGGUCCAGACUCAUACGGGAGGCAGCAGUGGGGAAUAUUGCACAAUGGGCGCAAGCCUGAUGCAGCCAUGCCGCGUGUAUGAAGAAGGCCUUCGGGUUGUAAAGUACUUUCAGCGGGGAGGCGUUACCCGCAGAAGAAGCACCGGCUAACUCCGUGCCAGCAGCCGCGGUAAUAC
rnacentral:rRNA from 1 species